CCUACGGGAGGCAGCAGUGGGGAAUAUUGGACAAUGGGCGAAAGCCUGAUCCAGCCAUGCCGCGUGUGUGAAGAAGGCCUUCGGGUUGUAAAGCACUUUCAGUGGGGAAGAAAGCCUUGGGGCUAAUACCCUCGAGGAAGGACAUCACCCACAGAAGAAGCACCGGCUAACUCCGUGCACAGCAGCCGCGGUAAUACGGAGGGUGCGAGCGUUAAUCGGAAUUACUGGGCGUAAAGCGCGCGUAGGCGGUCUGAUAAGCCGGUUGUGAAAGCCCCGGGCUCAACCUGGGAACGGCAUCCGGAACUGUCAGGCUAGAGUGCAGGAGAGGAAGGUAGAAUUCCCGGUGUAGCGGUGAAAUGCGUAGAGAUCGGGAGGAAUACCAGUGGCGAAGGCGGCCUUCUGGACUGACACUGACGCUGAGGUGCGAAAGCGUGGGUAGCAAACAGGAUUAGAUACCCUUGUAGUC
rnacentral:rRNA from 1 species